CUUGAGGCCUCGCCUCCAGUCCGCAAAGGGCCUUGCCUCCCUGCGACACCCUCGGGUCCAGGAGUCGCUUCCUCCAUUCCCAUCCAAAAUCCAACGUCACUUGUGUACAGGACAUGUCUGUGUGCAGAAGGGGCUAAUGAUCAGACCAUGCCGCGAUGAGGAUCAAUAGGUGUCAGACAGAAAGAUAUCAAGCAGCUACCAAAUCCCUCCAGACGUAACCUCUUCUACAAUAAAGGA